rnacentral:rRNA from 1 species
UUUAGAGGAAGUAAAAGUCGUAACAAGGUUUCCGUAGGUGAACCUGCGGAAGGAUCAUUACCGAACCGCCGACACGAGUUGUUGCUGGCCCUCAAACGGGGGCAAGUGCACGCUCUGUUUGCACAUCCACUCACACCUGUGCACCUUCCCUGUAGUUCUGUGGCCUGAAGGACUCUGUCCUCUUGCUGUAGCUCUGCAUCUUUACACAUGCACUGUAACAAAGUCUUAUGGAAUGUGAUGCCGCGUUUAACGCAAUACAAUACAACUUUCAGCAACGGAUCUCUUGGCUCUCGCAUCGAUGAAGAACGCAGCGAAAUGCGAUAAGUAAUGUGAAUUGCAGAAUUCAGUGAAUCAUCGAAUCUUUGAACGCACCUUGCGCCCUUUGGCUAUUCCGAAGGGCAUGCCUGUUUGAGUAUCAUGAACACCUCAACUCUCAUGGUUUGCCAUGAUGAGCUUGGACUUUGGAGGUCUUGCUGGCCUGUGGUCGGCUCCUCUCAAACAAAUCAGCUUGCCGGCGUUUGGUGGCAUCGCGGGUGUGAUAAAUAUCUACGCUUGUGGUUUCUGCCAGAUAACCUUUCAGCAAUGGAGGUUUCGCCGGAGCUUAUAAACGUCUCUCCUCGGUGAGGAUGGUGCUCUGAACGUUUGAUCUCAAAUCAGGUAGGACUACCCGCUGAACUUAAGCAUAUCAAUAAGCGGAGGAAAAGAAACUAACAAGGAUUCCCCUAGUAACUGCGAGUGAAGCGGGAAGAGCUCAAAUUUAAAAUCUGGCGUGCCUCUGGUCGUCCG